rnacentral:lncRNA from 1 species
CAGCUUCAUUCAUGUCCUUGCUCAUUCCUUAUGUUGUAUAUUUGAGAUGAAAUCACAUGGUUACGUUUAUGGAUCUCCUUAAGUGAGAGGUAUGAUAUUUGUUUCAUUUUCCAGAUUGAAUGCAAUACGGCUUGAGGAGAAGGAGAAAAGGGAGAAGGAAAUUGUAAGGGAAAUAAUUGAAGAAGCAGAGGAAUACAAAGCAGGAAAUAAACUGUAAGUUGCAUUCUUCAUUCAUUUCACAUGGCUGAAAAUGAUAAUAUUGAUAAAGUAGCCGAU